UUCUACAAUGUCAGGUGUCCUUCUUUUCAGUAGAUGAAUAGCCUUGAGUCUAAAAGAGACAAAACUGAUUAAGCAAUUGAAUAUGCAUAGCCAAAUUUAAGAAGCAGAAUGGAAAGACAGAUUGAGGAAAGAAGCCAAGUCCAGACACUGUUCUUAAGGGGUUGAAGUAUGAAUUGUAACCAGCUAAGUCUUCAACCUGCUUAUUCAUAGAGGUUAUCUAUAAGUCUCAUUUUUAUUGUUUUUAGAUCUUUCUCCACCUAAUGUAAAUUAUUUGUCUAAAUACAAGGAAUUUAAAGACUCUUAUUGAGCUUUUAUAGCUGUCAUUGUGACUUAUUGGCCUCAUUAAACUAUAAUAGUGAUAAGCUAUAGGUGUAGGGGGAGACAGUUAGCAGGGGUCAGUGUAGUCAUUGGAGUGCCCUUUUUAUAUCUAGCCUACAUUAUUAGCAUUUUAAUAUUUUUGUUAAACUUUCUUCCUGGGUGUUUAAGAUCAAAUUAAGGUGAGAUUUGUGUUAAUCAAAAUUAAUCUCUCUCUCUCUCUCUCUCUCUGUCUGUCUCUCAUUAAGGCUCCUCCUCAGAGAUUAUUUUUGGGACCAUGUAAAGAGUCUCUUAUCUCCUCUGUCAGUGUAACCUGCCAGGAUGGGUCAUGGUCUUGCCUGACUAUAAGGCUUCCCAGUGAAGUACAGGAGGUGAUUCCCUCUUUGGUGACUCUCCUUUAUAGCACCAUGUCCUCUGGGGUCCAACAAUCUCCCUGCUCAGGAAGUUUGGUGACUUAUCAGACUUGUAGAAUCCUUUUGGAGAAGUCCCCUCAUGUCUUGUGUCCUUGAUUGCCUUGGAGGGCCAGGGCCAGCCAAAAUAUUGGUUGUCCUCUUAGCCUAGUUAUCUUUUAAGAUUUGGCCUCUAAGCCUUAAUUGCUGAACACACAGAAGGUCAGUUCCACCAGUACUGACGUGGAAGGAGUAGGUUUAGCUAUCAUAAUUUUUUUAUCUGAAUAUCAAGCACUUUGAAAUGUAAAGUAUAGCCAGAAAACUGGUGGGGGUUUUGUUUUAUUUUGUUUUGUUUUGCUUUUUACCAAUCAUGUUUGUCUUAAAAGUCCAAUUCCCAUAGAAUGUUAACAGAUAACAGUUACAGAGUUUUCCAGGGAAAUUUUGAAAUCAAGGGCAAAGUAACAUUUUAACACAACAAUUAUGUGACAUUAUUUUAUUAGAACCAUAAGGCUUUUUAUUUCUGAAAAUAUAUGUAAAUUCUUAUUUUAGUAUAAAAUAACUUUUUAGUCACUUACCUUUAUCUAAUUUCAAAAUAUUAAGUGACAUAAAGAAGUUUUUACCUAAAUUUGUUAUCUUUUUUUUUUUUUUGGUACCGGGGUACCGGGGAUUGAACUCUGGUCCUUGUGCGUGCGCAGCAGGUGGUGAAACCACUGAGCCAAAUCCCUGGCCCUAAAUUUGUUAUAUUUUAAAAGUGCCAUUUAAGUAGAAUGUACUUCUUUAUAGAUGUACUUUAUAGGUUAAUAAUGUCCAUUCUUAAAUCUUUGGAGUGUCAUUGCCUGGACUGCAUGUUGUUUAGCCACCUCUGACUAUUGUAACACAAUUGCAUAAUAACCACAUAAACAUAAGCAUGAAAAAUUAUCCAUAUCACCUGGCUGUCUGUCUCAUGUUGGGUUGGUGGGUACAUUUCAUCAAAGUAGCUGGACCACAAGCAAAGGAAAGCCAGAUGAUUAAGUUACAAGUUAACCAUCAAAAACAACUUUAGCUUGGAAGUCAUCAGUACAAUAAGGUGUUUUCUUAAGUUUUGUAUCUUUGAAGGCCUGUACACUUGAGAAACACAAAUACAUCUAAUAUACCAUCAGGUCAGCGCUAAUAAGCUUUACAGGUACAUAGAUAUCUUUACACAUGUUUACUUAGUUUUUACUCUUAGGAAAAAAUUUAGACACCUUUAAUAAGCUUACUGACAACAAUUAAGGACAUCUUUAGAGCUCUAAUAAAUUUAGGAAACAGGGCUGGGGAUGUAGCUCAGCAGCACUGUGCCUGCCUGACAAGCGCAAGGUCCUGAAUUCAAUCCCCAGUGUUGGGAGCAACGCUACGUAAUUUUAGGGUAAAAUCAUUUGGUUAGCCUAGUUCUCCUGCCUACAACCCAGCUAUGGAAUUCUGAGACAUAAUUCCAUUUUGGCCUCCGGUCACAACUGAGACCUCAAUGAUCUGGUGAUGCUGUGAUGCUCCAGGACAAGAUUACACCAGCGGGAGACAUCCUGAGAGGAACAAAGUCUUCAUCUACUCAGUUCUUCAUUGUUCUUGGAUUGUUACAUCAUGUUUACAGGGAUGUGCUGAACUCUCUGCAAGCCAAACACCAGGGGUGAAAUUAAGUCAACCUUACCUGAGCAGCCACCCAGAAUUGCCAUUUACAGAGCCUGUGAAUGCUGUGGAGAGAUGACAUUGACUUGGUGUUGGGAGAACCAAGCAGGCAGGCAUGGUUAUACAUGGUGAGAUGACAGCUCUGCAGUUUCCAGAUGCAAGUAUCCAGCAGCCAUGGAUGGCAACAUCAGAAACCCUGGGACAAACACCAUAUACUCGAUGUCAACAGUCAUUUUCAUCCACUACAACUGAUGUCUAUCAGAUUCCAACAUGCAACUCAUUUCUAAUUAAUUGAGCAGAGGUCAACCAGAUAGGCAGCUGUCCUGUCACCACUUAACUUAGAGUUGAUGCUUUCUUCAUUGAACAGAAAUACCCCUGUUCCAAGUGUUACGAAUUUCAGAAAUGGGGGGAAUAUAUAUUUAACACAGUAAGAGUAGGAGAAUUAUGAUGAAAGGUGGAUUAAAGUGUAUAUUCUGUGGCAAUGUUGUCCCACAAACUCAAAACCCUGAAUGAAUCUAAAUGUUGAGCGUCUUUGGUUCUAGGUGUUGGGAGCCAGAGGUCCUCCUGCUUAUAGGGUCCUUGUGCUAUCUGAGGAGGCAGAACCUCAGGAGCCCAUCUGCACCAUCACCAGGUCCUUGGGAUCCCUGGGCCCACAGACUUUUGAGAGGCACUGCUUGGGGCACAAAGAGAGCGGGCUGUGAGGGCAGCAGGCUUAGAUGGGCAGAGGAUGAGGCUUGGGUCCACCUGUACUCCAGCUCUGGGCACAGGCUCUUGCAUUUGAAUCUGUCCCCCAUUGUUGCUGCUAGGGCCACCCAAGCAAGGCACAGUUCUUCCUCAUUGCUAGGGGAAGGGCUACUUCAGGACCUACUUUACAAAUUGUCCUGGAGAUGGCAGGAAGCCCCUGGUGCAUAGUAUGUCCCCAGUAAAUGUUAGAGAUUUCUAUCCAAGCUGCCUUCCUUGGCACUACUCUUGGGUCUAUGAGGGGCAGUUUUUCAUCAGCUCAGGUCCAGAUUUGCCCUUGCAAAACACACUAGUUCGAUGCCUGAAAUCUCUUUACCCUAAAGUGACCUUUGGAAGGAGAAUCUGGCAACGCAUUUUUGAGAAAAAUUUUAUUUGUAGACCAUUGUAGAUUCCCAUGCAGUUGUAAGAGGUGUAAUCAAAACAUACAGUGAAUGUUUAAAUUUUAAAAAUGUAUUACGGUACAAGACACACUGCAGUUGAUCCUCCUCAAAAUACUCUCCCUCACUUUGAAGGUAGUUAUUCCAUUGUUCUUAAUACUUUCUGAAGCAGUUCUAGAAAUAUUUUUUCCUGGGUGCUUUUAUGAGUGAUGACAAAAAAAAAAAGAUGGUGACUGCUGCUGCCAAGUGCCAUCCAAGAGAAAGGCAGGCUUGUAAAAGCAUGAUGGUGUGUCCUCAUCCACCUUGUUCACUAACCUAACACCAUAGAACUUCCGCUCUUCCCCAAAGAUAAACUUUCUAAAUUAAUUCAGGACCUCAAGCCAGCUAUGAUAGUGCAACUAAAGACACAAAAGAGGACUUCCAGAGCUGCUCCAGAAAGUGGCAAGUACUGUGGGAUAAGCCUGUUCAAAGCGAGGGGAAGUAUUUCGAGGAGGAUCAAUGGCAGUGUUCUUUUAUUGGAAUAAACUUUUAAACACUUAAACAUUCUCUUUAUUUUUUGACCAUAGUACAUACUCUGUUAGGAAGUUCAAAGGUGCCUUGUAAGUUGUGAGAAAGAUUAUGCCCUUCCUCAGCCUCCCUCAAUGGAGACAUCUUCUAAAGCAAUAGUGUGCAAGAUUAAAAUUGGGUAUUAAUGUUGAUACCACCUACUGAUCUUAUUUCGGGUUUCUCCAGUGUCACUUGCACGUGUGUGUUAACUUCAGUGCAGUGUUCUGACAUGCCCUUGUCACGUACAUGUACAGCCACACUUAUUAAAUAGUUUGUCCAAACAUGAGACUUCCCAUGAUUUUCAGGGGCCCUGCCUCAAUGUACUCCUGUGCUAAUCAAAAAGAAAAGAUCAAUAGAUACACAAGUUUACAUAUCACAUUGUUUCUCUUGUGUGAGAAACCCAAAGGGAAAAUAAGGACCAAAAUGGAUGACAGAUACUGGGAAAUAGGAAGAAAAUGUUCAAAUGGGAAGGGGAACAAGGGAUGGGGGAGAGAAAUGGAAGAAAGGAAAAAGGAAAAAAUGGAAACAAAACUUUUGUAAAUGGGAGGGGGAGAAGGGUUGAAGGGAGAGGAGGAGAAUGGGGCAAAAAAGAAGAAUCAAGACACAUCGUGUACAGGUACAAAAUCCCUGUGAUGAAUGUAAUCAAUAUACAUGACAAAUGUGUACAAGUGAAAAAUGUAAUCAAUAUACAUGACAAAUGUGUACAAAUGAAAAAUAAAGUUUAAGAAUAGAUUGUUUAAGCAGAAAAACAAAAUGAAGAACAAAAAAAGAUUGAUAAAGCAAGUAGAUAAAGUGAACAACAUUAAACUCAGGGAAGGACCAUC
rnacentral:lncRNA from 1 species